CCCUCAGUAGGAGCUUAG
rnacentral:snRNA from 1 species